GGGUCCGAAGCAGGUAGUUAUCGCUUCGGAGGUUGGGAUGGUCGGGCCGCCAUCU
rfam:Elusimicrobia bacterium RIFOXYA2_FTLL_53_38 rifoxya2_full_scaffold_55, whole genome shotgun sequence.